ensembl:lncRNA
GACUCUCCUAACGGGCCAUAUAUAUAACUUUUUUUUUUCCGGGUAGUGAUUUUUCAGGUGGUAGAAACAUGAGUACUCUCGAAGAAGAGGAAUGAGAGUAACUUGACCAGGUUUGGAGAGCAUUUGAGGGAUAUUGUGAUUAAAUUGACUUUGGGGACACCCAGCUGCAAGUCAAGACAUGGAGUCCAAAGCAGUGACAACUGCCACAAGAAUCAAAUGGAAAGAGACACACCCUCCAAAGAUGCCAGGGACGAAGACAACAUUCUGUACAGAUAAAUACAAGCCUGAAUCUGCAGUCACUGGGGGCAGCCUCUGUUAGUGGCCCCUAAUGUUCUACUGAGCUGCCUCUCAAAUCUGCGACCUCAGAUGUGACAGUUGGACCAUAAAGAAGGCUGAGCACCAAAAAAUUAAUGUUUUCAAAUUGUGGUGCUGGAGAAGAUUCUUAAGAGUCCCUUGGACUGCAAAGGAGAUCAAACCAGUCCAUCCUAAAGGGAAUCAACUCUGAAUAUUCACUGGAAUGACUGAUGCUGAAACUCCCAUACUUUGGUUACCUGAUGGGAAGAGCUGACUCAUUGGAAAAGACCCUGAUGCUGCAAAAGAUUGAAGGCAGGAGAAGGGGAUGACAGAGGAUGAGACAGUUGGAUGACAUCACUAACUCGGGAGAUAGUGAAGGACAGGGAAGCGUGGAGUGCUGCAGUCCAUGGGGUUAGCAGAGAGUCAGACAAGACUGAGUGACUGAACAACAAGAACUAACUCUUAAGACAUAUCAUGCUUCCCCACCAAUCUCUGCAAGUAAAGAAGACAGGGAAUGUCAUUUCCCCAUACGAAUUCUAUAAGCAUCUUCAAGAAGCAGAAUUAUCCCCAGCUAGGGUAUUUUGUUCUAAUUUCUUUUUUUUUAAUUUACUCCAUUUUACUUAUAAUUGCAUUUCAACUUAAUACUCUUGGGUCACUACAUUCAUUCCUCGUAUCAAAAAUAGUAUUCCAAACCUGGUUAACAAAGCAUGCUUUUAAGACUUUCAGAAUACAACUUUCAGGAUGAUUAAAUUUGUGUACAUUUAUUCUUUUUUAAUAUUUACUUAAUAUUGGCGUGUAUUUGAUUUAUAGUGUUGUGUUAGUUUCAGGUGUACAGUAAAGCGAUUCAGUUACACCUAUACAUAUAUUCGUUAUUUUUCAGAUUCUUUUCCCAUGUAGGUUAUUACAGAAUAUUGAGUAGAAUUUCCUGUGCUAUAUAUGUUUAUUUCUAAUAGUAUAUUUUGUUUG